rnacentral:rRNA from 1 species
UACGUAGGGUGCAAGCGUUGUCCGGAAUUAUUGGGCGUAAAGAGCUCGUAGGCGGUUUGUCGCGUCUGCUGUGAAAACCCGAGGCUCAACCUCGGGCCUGCAGUGGGUACGGGCAGACUAGAGUGUGGUAGGGGGAGACUGGAAUUCCUGGUGUAGCGGUGAAAUGCGCAGAUAUCAGGAGGAACACCGGUGGGCGAAGGCGGGUCUCUGGGCCGAUACUGACGC